GUCUACAGCUGUACCACCCAGAAUGCACCCGAUCUUGUCUGAUCUCAGAAGCUAAGCAGGGUCGGGCCUUGUGAGUACUUGGAUGGGAGACUUCUUGGGAAUACCGUGUGCCAUAGGCC
rnacentral:rRNA from 1 species